rnacentral:rRNA from 1 species
UACAGAGGUCCCAAGCGUUGUUCGGAUUUACUGGGCGUAAAGGGUGCGUAGGUGGUGAGGUAAGUCUGAUGUGAAAUCUCCGAGCUUAACUCGGAAAUGGCAUUGGAAACUACCUUGCUAGAGGGUUGGAGGGGGGACUGGAAUACUUGGUGUAGCAGUGAAAUGCGUAGAUAUCAAGUGGAACACCAGUGGCGAAGGCGAGUCCCUGGACAACUCCUGACACUGAGGCACGAAAGCGUGGGGAGCAAACAGG